GAUGAACGCUGGCGGCGUGCUUAACACAUGCAAGUCGAACGAAGCAUUUAGGACAGAUUACUUCGGUUUGAAGUUCUUUAUGACUGAGUGGCGGACGGGUGAGUAACGCGUGGGUAACCUGCCUUGUACUGGGGGAUAGCAGCUGGAAACGGCUGGUAAUACCGCAUAAGCGCACAAUGUUGCAUGACAUGGUGUGAAAAACUCCGGUGGUAUAAGAUGGACCCGCGUCUGAUUAGCUAGUUGGUGAGAUAACAGCCCACCAAGGCGACGAUCAGUAGCCGACCUGAGAGGGUGACCGGCCACAUUGGGACUGAGACACGGCCCAGACUCCUACGGGAGGCAGCAGUGGGGAAUAUUGCACAAUGGAGGAAACUCUGAUGCAGCGACGCCACGUGAGUGAAGAAGUAAUUCGUUAUGUAAAGCUCUAUCAGCAGGGAAGAUAGUGACGGUACCUGACUAAGAAGCUCCGGCUAAAUACGUG
rnacentral:rRNA from 1 species